rnacentral:rRNA from 1 species
AUUGAACGCUGGCGGCAUGCUUUACACAUGCAAGUCGAACGGUAACAGGGUGCUUGCACCGCUGACGAGUGGCGAACGGGUGAGUAAUGCGUCGGAACGUGCCGAGUAGUGGGGGAUAACGCAUCGAAAGGUGUGCUAAUACCGCAUACGUACUGAGGUAGAAAGUGGGGGACCUUCGGGCCUCACGCUAUUCGAGCGGCCGACGUCUGAUUAGCUAGUUGGUGAGGUAAAGGCUCACCAAGGCGACGAUCAGUAGUGGGUCUGAGAGGAUGAGCCGCCACACUGGGGGUGAGGAACGGGCCAGAAUCCUACGGGAGGCAGCAGUGGGGAAUUUUGGACAAUGGGGGCAAGCCUGAUCCAGGAAUGCCGCGUGCAGGAUGAAGGCCUUCGGGUUGUAAACUGCUUUUGUACGGAGCGAAAAAGCUCUCUCUAAUACAGAGGGCUCAUGACGGUACCGUAAGAAUAAGCACCGGCUAACUACGUGCCAGCAGCCGCCGUAA